rnacentral:rRNA from 1 species
UACGGAGGGUGCAAGCGUUAAUCGGAAUUACUGGGCGUAAAGCGCACGCAGGCGGCCUGAUAAGUCAGAUGUGAAAGCCCCGGGCUCAACCUGGGAACUGCAUUUGAAACUGUCAGGCUAGAGUCUUGUAGAGGGGGGUAGAAUUCCAGGUGUAGCGGUGAAAUGCGUAGAGAUCUGGAGGAAUACCGGUGGCGAAGGCGGCCCCCUGGACAAAGACUGACGCUCAGGUGCGAAAGCGUGGGGAG